GGGAGGGACUGGUCACGUGAUUAGUAGCCCAGCCGUUAAACCGACCAAGCUCGAGCUCACCAGCGCGCGGGGCACAAAAGGCCCCGGAUGAUCGGUUGAGCUAGGAAACAAAUCUGAAUCAGUCUUCCCACCACGGGGGAGUCACAGUCCGUGGACAAAUCAGGCCGCUCACACGGAGUUGCCUUGUCCGGAUCACAGUGAGAAGUGAGCGGCGACUUGCAUAUCAGGGGUUCGCAAGUUCACAGAGUACGUCACGGCGGCACGUCAUUUCCGGUGAAUCCCGAGAAGGUUUACUGUGAGCGGGACAGAGGGAAUGGAACUGGCCCGACACCCAGUCUGAGUGUGUGCAGUUCUCACAACAUCUUCUUCACGCGGUAAGCACCGUGUCCGCUUCCCGCUUCUUCCUCCCCCCACCCCUCACCAUCCCCUCACUCCUUAGCACACCCUCCUUUCUCAGUCUCACCACGUGAGCUCACCGUGUCCGCUUCCCGCUUCUCCCCCACCCCUCACCAUCCCCUCACUCCUCAGCACACCCUCCUUUCUCAGUCUCACUACGUGAGCUCACCGAGUCCGCUUCCCGCUUCUCCCCCACCCCUCACCAUCCCCUCACUCCUCAGCACACCCUCCUUUCUCAGUCUCACUACUCCAUUUUCCGUAACUCACCCCUCUGUUUUAUCUUACUCUCCUUCUCUUUCCCCUCUCACCCUAACGCUCCUCCUUCCUUUCCUCACCUCCCUCUCGAACUGCCCUCACUCCCACUUUAUAAAACUCUCACUUUUCUUCUCCCCUUUCUGUCUACAAACCCCCCACCCCCACCCCUGCCACUGCCCCUUCACUGACCGACAAUGAAUCUGUGCCCGUGCUCAUUCCGGGAUAGCGCACCAUCACUUUCUAUGUGUGAUGGUGACAGAGAAACAAUUGUCGACAAGAUAGACGGGUUUAUUCUGGUGUUUGGAGAUUGGAGUUUACAGGCAUUCAGAGCUGCCUGACCCAGAGGACAGAGAGACAUAGAAGGCGAGUGGGGGGAGAGGGGGGAGAGAGAGCGAGAGAGAGU